GGAUUUCAGGCUUGUCUGACAUGCAGCGUUGAAGGGAUGGCUUAAAAUAGAAGUCCCAGGAACGGCAGAGUGGGGCUCAUACCUGGGUUUGCUGAGGGAAAGAACGCUUAGAGGAUCUUACAGGUUUUAGAUUCUUCUAUUUCUCUCUGCUACCCGUAGUCCUGCCAUGGAGGCGAUUGCCUGCCCGGCUACUGCUAAGUAUUUCUUUGAAUCUGUGACAGGUGUUUUGAAACUUGGCUACCCUUGACGACGAGAGCGGGAGUUUAAGUGAGGAGAUGGGAGAUUGUGGAUCUCUGAGAAGGAGGUGGCGAGUGUCUCAGGAUGACUCCUUUUAAAUAGAGGGUGAAACCUGGUUGGUCGCAAUAUUUUCUGUCGGGUACAUUUCUGAAAAUGUACAAAACAACACGACAUCCUGCGUCGUCAGAUCUCAGAGAAGACCAGCUAGCUAGACGGUUAACGUCUCAUCAGAACUACACAGCGUCUUCCCUUCUCCACGAGAGCCUACCAGAUUCAUCACCUGGUAUUGAGGGUAAUGAGCGAGGCGUGGAGGUGAACACAUUAAACCAAGCCGACCUUGCCCAGCCCAGCCAGGAGGGAUGA
rnacentral:lncRNA from 13 species